GCCAAUAGCUCUACUCUUUAAGAGGAUGUUAGAGCUUAGAAGCUGCAGGCGGGUCAACCUCUUGUGGACCUCGGCCGAAACUCACGACAAAAACAAGGCUUUUGCAAAUAACGGCAAAAAAUUCAAGAUUUAAUUUCCCAUUAUGUUUGGUUCCCUACGAGCAUUAAUACCAAUAAGCUUCCAUUUUCCUAAAACUAUAGUUCCAAUUAGUGUCUGAUUUGGAUUCUAAAAGCUAAAAGAGAGAUAAAUUAGCAUUUUAAGAAAGAGAUUUUUCUCCUUUUAAGUGAGACUUAUUAAUGACAACCUAUAUUCAUUCUUUUUUCCACUUUUCCGUAAUGGAGAAAAUUUCCUAAAUUUUACUUGCUUG
rnacentral:lncRNA from 1 species